rnacentral:rRNA from 1 species
AAAGGAAUAGACGGGAGCCCGCACAAGCAGUGGAGUAUGUGGUUUAAUUCGACGCAACGCGAAGAACCUUACCAGAGCUUGACAUCCCUUUGACCGGAAAUGUAAUGUUUCCUUUCUCUUCGGAGACAAAGGUGACAGGUGGUGCAUGGUUGUCGUCAGCUCGUGUCGUGAGAUGUUGGGUUAAGUCCCGCAACGAGCGCAACCCUUACGGUCAGUUGCUACGAAAGAGCACUCUGGCCGGACUGCCGUUGACAAAACGGAGGAAGGUGGGGACGACGUCAAAUCAUCAUGCCCCUUACGCUCUGGGCUACACACGUACUACAAUGGCGCAAACAAAGAGUUGCGACCCCGCGAGGGUGAGCUAAUCUCAUAAAAGGCGUCCCAGUUCGGAUUGUAGGCUGAAACCCGCCUGCAUGAAGUUGGAAUUGCUAGUAAUCGUAGAUCAGCAUGCUACGGUGAAUACGUUCCCGGGCUUUGCACACACCGCCCGU